rnacentral:ncRNA from 1 species
CCGCCCGUGUCACCGGGUGAAUCUACGGGCCUGAAUAAAGAGCGGCCCUGACAAUGAAACGAAGCACCGCAAGGUGCGGGGCAUCAAUCGCGAGAGGCGUGCCCUUCUGGGAGCCACAACCCGGAUGAGUGC